UUACGAGGUCAGGACACUGUGAGGAUUGACAGAUUGAAAGCUCUUUCUUGAUUCAGUGGGUGGUGGUGCAUGGCCGUUCUUAGUUGGUGGAGUGAUUUGUCUGGUUAAUUCCGUUAACGAACGAGACCUUAACCUGCUAAAUAGUCACGCGAACCGGUCCGCAAGGGCUCAAAGUUCGCGGCUCGACUUCUUAGAGGGACUAUUCGCACCCGCCAGCGAAUGGAAGUUUGAGGCAAUAACAGGUCUGUGGUGCCCUUAGAUGUUCUCGGCCGCACGCGCGUUACACUGACGGAGUCAACGAGCGUUUUUCCUUGCCCGAUAGGGCCGGGUAACCUCCUGAAACUCCGUCGUGGUGGGGAUAGAUCAUUGCAAUUAUUGAUCUUGAACGAGGAAUUCCUAGUAAGCGCGAGUCAUCAACUCGCGCUGAUUACGUCCCUGCCCUUUGUACACACCGCCCGUCGCUCCUACCGAUUGAACGGUCCGGCGAGAACUCCGGAUGGUC
rnacentral:rRNA from 1 species